CACGUAGGGUGCGAGCGUUGUCCGGAAUUAUUGGGCGUAAAGAGCUCGUAGGCGGUGUGUCGCGUCGGCCGUGAAAACCUGCAGCUUAACUGUGGGCUUGCGGUCGAUACGGGCAUCACUGGAGUUCGGCAGGGGAGACUGGAAUUCCUGGUGUAGCGGUGAAAUGCGCAGAUAUCAGGAGGAACACCGGUGGCGAAGGCGGGUCUCUGGGCCGAUACUGACGCUGAGGAGCGAAAGCGCGGGGAGCAAACAGG
rnacentral:rRNA from 1 species